rnacentral:rRNA from 1 species
CAGCCGCCGCGGUAAUACGUAGGGUGCAAGCGUUAAUCGGAAUUACAGGGCGUAAAGCGUGCGCAGGCGGUUUGUUAAGACAGAUGUGAAAUCCCCGGGCUCAACCUGGGAACUGCAUUUGUGACUGGCAAGCUAGAGUGUGGCAGAGGGGGGUGGAAUUCCACGUGUAGCAGUGAAAUGCGUAGAGAUGUGGAGGAACACCGAUGGCGAAGGCAGCCCCCUGGGCCAAUACUGACGCUCAUGCACGAAAGCGUGGGGAGCAAACAGGAUUAGAUACCCCAGUAGUCCCUGUCUCUUAUAC